UGCAGGUUUGUUGCAGCGGGACAAAUAUCAGUUAUCAAUUAUACAGAGUCACAGUUGUGUUUUUAUUAACUGCACAUGAAUCUGUAUUGUAUGUGAGUGUUUGCAGUGCGGAGCGCACAUUAGCGUUAGCACGGGAUUGUGUUUACCUGGCCUGUUCCUGUUGAAAGGGGGGCCCAUCGACAGGCCUGAAGCCUGGGCAUUUCCUGCUGAGUGGCUGCUGACAGCGCUAACGGCGCUCUGGGGAGCUUCCUGUCAGCAGCUUCCACUCUCCAUGAAGCAGCAGCUUCGAGCAGCCCGACUAUCGCUGGCCUCUGGAGCAAGCACCACGAGUCACCGUCACACUGUUAUAUAACUAUAUUCUUAAACAUCAAAUCAUCCUCAGCCCGCAGAUUCUCAUCACCUCGCUGGUUUUCAACAUAAUCAGGAGAAGUGACGGCGGCGUGCUGCGAGCCCGUCUGACCUCUCUGACUCCGACUGGAUGGAAAUAAUGAUUAAAAAAAAAAAGAAAAAAGUGAUUAAAGUUAACUUUCUGCACUCGGGCACUUCAUUCAGCAGAAUGAUGACAAGAACAUCGGACGCCUCCGUUUUGUUACCUUCAUCAGAGGCUCCCAGGUAAAUGUACUUUAACCAUCCCAAAGAUAAAGGAUGAUGCAAUUUGAGGCAAUGGCCAUUUCUGAGAGUGCAACACAGAUGCAAUCCUUCUGUAAGAGGUGAGGAGGAUUACCAAAGAUUA